ensembl:lncRNA
GUGUGUGGAUAUUGGAGAGUAUGCUUCCCUCCAGCUUGGCCAGUAAUUUCAGUGCAAUCAGCAGGUAUUGCAAAAGCAUGGCCCUUGCCUCAUCAAUUAGGAGCCACAGAUAGAAAACUAUCACCUGCCCUGCAGCAGCCACAGCACACUGAAGCCGCCUCUCCACCUAUAAGUAAAAAGAAGAGACGAUCCCAAGCACAGAGAGGGCCUGAGUCCGUGGCAGCCUCCCUUGGCACCUCAGACCUCCAAACACUGAGAAAACUCAUCCGGAGUCAGAUCCAGACGUUUCUUCAUCUCAGCUGCCAGGAAGUACGUAUUUUGGCACAUGGGGACCAAGGAAGGAAGGAAUGGAGGAGAACUUACCCCAGAGGCUAGUAAAAUAUCAGCACAGGUUGUUUGCUCAUCUGUGGGAAAACAAUAGAAAAGAAAAAAAAAAAAAAAAAAA